UACGUAGGGUGCAAGCGUUGUCCGGAAUUAUUGGGCGUAAAGAGCUCGUAGGCGGUUUGUCGCGUCGAAUGUGAAAACCCGGGGCUCAACCCCGGGCCUGCAUUCGGUACGGGCAGACUAGAGUUCGGUAGGGGAGUCUGGAAUUCCUGGUGUAGCGGUGAAAUGCGCAGAUAUCAGGAGGAACACCGGUGGCGAAGGCGGGACUCUGGGCCGAUACUGACGCUGAGGAGCGAAAGCGUGGGGAGCGAACAGG
rnacentral:rRNA from 1 species